UACGUAGGGUGCAAGCGUUGUCCGGAAUUAUUGGGCGUAAAGAGCUCGUAGGCGGUUUGUCGCGUCUGCUGUGAAAACCCGAGGCUCAACCUCAGGCCUGCAGUGGGUACGGGCAGACUAGAGUGCGGUAGGGGAGAUUGGAAUUCCUGGUGCAGCGGUGGAAUGCGCAGAUAUCAGGAGGAACACCAAUGGCGAAGGCAGAUCUCUGGGCCGUAACUGACGCUGAGGAGCGAAAGCAUGGGGAGCGAACAGG
rnacentral:rRNA from 1 species